AUUGAACGCUGGCGGCAUGCUUUACACAUGCAAGUCGAACGGCAGCGCGGGCUUCGGCCUGGCGGCGAGUGGCGAACGGGUGAGUAAUACAUCGGAACGUGCCCAGUAGUGGGGGAUAGCUCGGCGAAAGCCGGAUUAAUACCGCAUACGACCUGAGGGUGAAAGCGGGGGAUCUUCGGACCUCGCGCUAUUGGAGCGGCCGAUGGCAGAUUAGCUAGUUGGUGGGGUAAAGGCCUACCAAGGCGACGAUCUGUAGCUGGUCUGAGAGGACGACCAGCCACACUGGGACUGAGACACGGUCCAGACUCCUACGGGAGGCAGCAGUGGGGAAUUUUGGACAAUGGGCGAAAGCCUGAUCCAGCAAUGCCGCGUGUGUGAUGAAGGCCUUCGGGUUGUAAAGCACCUUUGGCGGGAACGAAAAGGACUGUGCCAAUACCACGGUUCGAUGACGGUACCCGCAGAAUAAGCACCGGCUAACUACGUG
rnacentral:rRNA from 1 species